CGAGACAGUACCCACUGCCAGCAGCAGAUGGGAAGUCUAAACAGGAGAGACUGAAUAAAGCUGACAACUGAGGCAGGAUAAAGAAGAGAAGGAACAAAGAAGGAGGGGGCAGGAAAAGAAGCCAAGCAGAACAUGCUAGCCUGUCGAUUUUGUCUUCCAUUAAGGCUUCAGCAGAAGAUAAGAAAAGCUAAGCCACGUCAGUGAAGGGAGGACAGCAGGAAGGCUUUCAGGGGAAGAUUUGUGGUGUGGAUUCACUCGGCAUUGAUGAGAGCAGCUCCCCAGACAGAUACCGAGAAUGAAAAACCAAACCAGUGACCAGGAAGAGAAGAUAUGAAGAAAAAUAUAAGUACAUCUUUUAUUGUAAAAAUGAAUAACUAUAGGCUAUAGACUGAAUGUGGAAGCCUAAAUCCCUAGUGUGAUGGUAUUGGGAGGUGGGGCUUUGGGAUGCGAUUAUUAAUAGGUCAAGAGGGUGGUGCCCUCAUGAAUGAGAUUAGUGUCCACAUAAGAAAAGACGCAAAAGAGAUAUCUCUCCCUCCCCAUCCCCACACGGCAUAAGAAUACAAGACAGCUCUCUGCAAACCAAAAAGAAAGCCCUCACCAGACUGGAUCUGCCAGCACCUUGAUCUUGGACUUCUCAACCUCCAGAACUGUGAG
rnacentral:lncRNA from 1 species